GAUGAACGCUAGCUACAGGCUUAACACAUGCAAGUCGAGGGGCAGCACAGUGUAGCAAUACACGGGUGGCGACCGGCGCACGGGUGCGUAACGCGUAUCCAACCUUCCCGAUACUCUUGGAUAGCCUUCCGAAAGGGAGAUUAAUACAAGAUGGUGUUUCAAUUCCGCAUGUUAUUGAAACUAAAGAUUUAUCGGUAUCGGAUGGGGAUGCGUGACAUUAGAUAGUAGGCGGGGUAACGGCCCACCUAGUCUACGAUGUCUAGGGGUUCUGAGAGGAAGGUCCCCCACACUGGAACUGAGACACGGUCCAGACUCCUACGGGAGGCAGCAGUGAGGAAUAUUGGUCAAUGGUCGGAAGACUGAACCAGCCAAGUAGCGUGAAGGAUGAAGGUUCUAUGGAUUGUAAACUUCUUUUAUACGGGAAUAAAACCUCCCACGUGUGGGAGCUUGUAUGUACCGUAUGAAUAAGCAUCGGCUAACUCCGUGCCAGCCGCCGCCGUAAAAC
rnacentral:rRNA from 1 species